UUUCUAUGUUUUUAUACUUAAAUUGAAUCCCCAUUAUUUGAUGCACAUCAUUUCAGCAAAAAAAAACAUGGAGAUUGUGUGAGUGACCCGUAACCCAAAAUACAGUCCAUUAUUAAAAUAGGGUGUUUUUUUUUUUUUUUAACCCCUUUUUUAUUUUUUACUUUUAAUCGAGAUUCGGUCAUGACAACCUUUUGCGCUAUUAUUAAUUGUUGUUUUGCAAACGUGAUAGAAUGUCAUACAUAUGCGUAGAUGUUAACUUUUGUGUUUUUACAACCUAUUAAGGUCAACUUAGCGAUAGGAAUGAACCCUCUCCCGCUUCUUCUGCAUGUUUUACAUGAAUGUUCUCCCAAACAAAUGACGCUCUCAAUGUUUUUUAAGUUUUUCUUCGGCAUAAGGAAAAUGUGAUUUUUGCAUGCUAUCGUGAAAACAGUGCUGUAUCCUUUGUGUCAGUCCAAACUGUAAACAUGGAGUACGUUGUCAGAACUGAGGAAUAAGGGAAAUAGCAAAAACAAAAUGUCUAACAUGAAACUGUACCAUGCUAUGCAAACUUCACGUUUACCAGCAACUAUCCGACAAGAUUGGUUUGCUUUUUUUGUGCCUUUCAAAGAUCUAUGCAGCGGAGAUGAACAUCCAUGGCUUUACAUAGCUACCAGGAAGCCUGGCUGUGCAUUUUUCAUCAAAUAUACGAGAAAUGUGCUUAGGUAACCAAGGCAGAGUUCAGGUAGUUGCAUUACAGACUUACUGUCAUAGGAAUACAGUUAACAUCUAUACUGUAGGUUUACCUAUCUGUUAUUUUGUUUGUUUGUUUGUUUUAGUUUUAUGCUAUCAGCUUAUUUAGUUUUUCCUGAUGGUGACGCAAUGUAAUUUCUGCUUGGCACACAUGAAUAUAAAUGCCAUGAAAUAAGUAGGCAUAGUCACGGUCCCUCCAGUGUAAAUUAUAACCCCUGAGGGUUUUGCUGGCUGAGUCUCUGUGUCCUGAUGGAGGGUCAAUGUGUUACAUCUGUUGGAAUACAGAUAAGACGUGGGGGUUUUGUAUGGGUUUUUUUUUUUUCUUCUUGUAACUGCGUCAGGUUGCAAUGGCCGAUUCUGCACUGUGGACAGACUGUAAAGCCACUGGCUGGCUUGCUUUAAAUUUUACUCUUUUCCUUUUCUUUUUUUGUUGUUUUGGCUUCGUUUCUGUUUUUUGUUUGUGUUUAGGUAUAGUCACAUGUUUUCAGCUAGAUUUUAUGAAUGCCAAAGUUCUAUUUAUAUACAAAUUUCAUAGAGUAUUAACAAAUAUUUUUCCAUUUUGUAAGACAGGAUUUUUCUUUGGCUCUUUAAUUUGUACAGAUGGAAAAUAAAAUAUUUUUCUAAAAAAUA